UGUGUAUGAUUAUUAAUAGUUUGGCUACUGUAUUUUUAUUUAUAGUUAGGAUAUCAUUUGAAUUUUUCUUCCAUAUGAUGCUUUUGCAGGGGUGGUUUUGGAAGAUUAUUUCACGGUGAUCAUAAUGACUUGUUCAUUCCUCAUCCCAUUCUUUUUCUGUUUUAUUGUAGUUGGUUAAUAUUAUACAAUAAAGAGAGAUUGUGAAUCUUGUUUGCAAUGACUUGCUUCUUCAACACUUCUAUAUGCCAACAUUUGCUGAUCCCGUGAAUUUCUUUUGUCAGAUCGGAAAUUUUCCCACGCUAUUGAACUAUAUACAAAAGCAGUUGAGCUAAACAGUCAAAGUGCAGUUUACUAUGCUAAUCGUGUUAAGUUGCUCAUUGCUAUUGGCUCAAUGUUUCUACUGAUGUGAUUUAUAUGUUUAAAAGCUAUUUUCAAGUUAUUUUCAUAAACUCCUCUAAGAUGAUUAUUGUUGUAUAGAGUGCAUCCUAAUUUUUUCCUUGAUAGAAACAAUAUGUAUACAAGUUCUUAUAUGGAAAAUACUUGUUGAAUAAACGUUUAAUUAAGUUUUAUAUCAGUGUGAUUUUUGGAUUGCUAUGUGGCAUGAUGUUCCGUUAUUAUCCCCAUUCCUUACCUUCUCUGUAUGCAGGAUCAGGCUUCCAAUGUUGACGUUCUUCUAACUGAUGCAAAUGGUGUUUUUCAAUCAAUCAAGGCUCUAAGCCAAACUGAUGGAAGAUGGCGCUACAGCUCUGAUAAUCCAGAGUCUAGUAAUUGUCAUUAGCUCUGAUGAUGAAUCUGAAGUGAAAGAGAAACAGCCUCUUAAAGGAAGAAAGUUAAGAGAAAGAUCUAAGAUAAAUGUCAGGACAUUUAGUUCAGUUCUUUCAGCUAGAAGCAAGAGAUGUCUGGGCCUUCCUUUUAACUUGCAAAGUGAAGUAUUGCAGCCUUUAUGAUCAAGGACAUGAAUGAAGUGCUCUCGGUAUUUCGAAACCAGUACCGCAAGCUACACACAACAAGAUCAUGGAAUUUUAUUGGAUUACCUUUGACAGCUAAGAGAAAACUGAAAUCAGAGAGUGACAUAAUUGUCGCUCUUUUGGAUACAGGUUUAUCAUGCCUUUCAACUCAUUUUCAUUUUUUUUUGUUUUGUAUUUGAGGCUGCCAUACACGACGGCGUGGAUGUCAUAUCGCUUUCGUUAGGCGGAGGAAAUGCAAAUUAUGUGCAGAACUGUAUAGCAAUCGGCGCAUUUCAUGCCAUGAGGAAAGACGCAGCACGAGACUCUUCAAGCAAGGAAAAUGCUAAGUAUUGUGAUGAUGCCGACUCGUUAGAUCCGAAAUAAGUGAAAGGAAAGAUUGUUUACUGCCGAUUUAGGACAUGGGGCACUGAUGCACUUGUGAAAGAAAUAGGAGGCAUUGGUACUAUAGUUGAAAAUGAUCAAUUUUUAGAUGUUGCUCAAAUAUUCAGUGCUCCUUCUACCUUUGUGAAUAAAAGCACAAGUCAAAUUAUUACCAAUUAUAUACAAUCUACGAGGUCAAAAAAUUCUCUUAUUUCCACUCUGGUUCAGACACUUCGCAUAACUAAUGUUGUUAUAUUCUUUGUCAUGCUAAACCUAUGAGCCAGAAACUUAACAAGGAAGCCGAGUUCGCAUUUGGUGCUUGUUUUAUAAUUUAUGGGCAAUACUUUGUUUGUGCAGGUUGUCUAAGUCAAGUUUCAGUUUCUGAUCAUUGAGGAUGGUGCUGGUAUUGGCCCUGAGGGAUAUGCACAUGUUCUGUUGCAGCUACCAUGAAUGCUUAUAACAUGUUUGGACGCUGGAGCAACACUUGAUCAAGAAGAAUAUUAAGAAGUUGUGUUUUAUAUUAUCUUGCUAGCUAGUUCAUCAAACUUUUGUUGUUAUUUUGGGAUGACUCUUUGAGAGAAACUUGUGUUUAAUUUAGCUCUUGUUUUGAAUCCCAUGGUUGUUUUGAAUUUGGGAUGACAUCAAAACUUAGUAUCUAACUUAUUAGUGGCACUACAAAAAAAAAACUUACUUUU